UACGAAGGGGGCUAGCGUUGCUCGGAAUUACUGGGCGUAAAGGGCGCGUAGGCGGAUAUCUUAGUCAGGCGUGAAAGCCCCGGGCUCAACCUGGGAAUUGCGCUUGAAACGGGGUAUCUUGAGGGCGAGAGAGGGUGGUGGAAUUCCCAGUGUAGAGGUGAAAUUCGUAGAUAUUGGGAAGAACACCGGUGGCGAAGGCGGCCACCUGGCUCGCACCUGACGCUGAGGCGCGAAAGCGUGGGGAGCAAACAGG
rnacentral:rRNA from 1 species